rnacentral:rRNA from 1 species
ACGAACGCUGGCGGCAUGCCUAACACCUGCAAGUCGAACGAGACCUUCGGGUCUAGUGGCGCACGGGUGCGUAACGCGUGGGAACCUGCCCUUAGGUUCGGAAUAACUCCCCGAAAGGGGUGCUAAUACCGGAUAAUGUCUUCGGACCAAAGAUUUAUCGCCUUUGGAUGGGCCCGCGUUGGAUUAGCUAGUUGGUAGGGUAAAAGCCUACCAAGGCGACGAUCCAUAGCUGGUCUGAGAGGAUGAUCAGCCACACUGGGACUGAGACACGGCCCAGACUCCUACGGGAGGCAGCAGUGGGGAAUAUUGGACAAUGGGCGAAAGCCUGAUCCAGCAAUGCCGCGUGAGUGAUGAAGGCCUUAGGGUUGUAAAGCUCUUUUACCCGGGAUGAUAAUGACAGUACCGGGAGAAUAAGCGCCGGCUAACUCCGUG